ensembl:snoRNA SNORA5C small nucleolar RNA, H/ACA box 5C
UGCAGUCCAGUCAAAUUCGGCCCUUAUCUCCGUGGCGGGGGCCGGCCCAGAUGGCUGCCACAGCAAGCUCUGCCGCUCAUGGGCUCUGGGUCCCCUGCCUGGGGCCCAGGGAUAAGUUUGGCUGCGGACAUAG